UACGGUGGGGGUUAGCGUUGUUCGGAAUUACUGGGCGUAAAGCGCGCGUAGGCGGACCAGAAAGUUGGGGGUGAAAUCCCGGGGCUCAACCCCGGAACGGCCUCCAAAACUCCUGGUCUUGAGUUCGAGAGAGGUGAGUGGAAUUCCGAGUGUAGAGGUGAAAUUCGUAGAUAUUCGGAGGAACACCAGUGGCGAAGGCGGCUCACUGGCUCGAUACUGACGCUGAGGUGCGAAAGUGUGGGGAGCAAACAGG
rnacentral:rRNA from 1 species